rnacentral:rRNA from 1 species
AAUAUUGGACAAUGGGCGCAAGCCUGAUCCAGCCAUGCCGCGUGAGUGAUGAAGGCCUUAGGGUUGUAAAGCUCUUUUCUCCGGGACGAUAAUGACGGUACCGGAGGAAUAAGCCCCGGCUAACAUCGUGCCAGCCGCCGCGGUAAUACGAAGGGGGCUAGCGUUGCUCGGAAUCACUGGGCGUAAAGGGCGCGUAGGCGGCGUUUUAAGUCGGGGGUGAAAGCCUGUGGCUCAACCACAGAAUGGCCUUCGAUACUGGGACGCUUGAGUAUGGUAGAGGUUGGUGGAACUGCGAGUGUAGAGGUGAAAUUCGUAGAUAUUCGCAAGAACACCGGUGGCGAAGGCGGCCAACUGGACCAUUACUGACGCUGAGGCGCGAAAGCGUGGGGAGCAAACAGG